UUCCAUGAUGAGGACAAUUUGAUGUGUAUCCUUGAAAACACUCCCAUGCUUCUGGAAUGAUUUCUAUCUUGUGCUGUUGGAAACUAACAAUAUUUCCUCUUAAGGCA
rnacentral:snoRNA from 1 species